rnacentral:rRNA from 1 species
CCCUUAGAUGUUCUGGGCCGCACGCGCGCUACACUGACGAAUGCAACGAGCUUAUAACCUUGGCCGAAAGGUCUGGGUAAUCUCCAAAUUUCGUCGUGAUGGGGAUAGAUUAUUGCAAUUAUUAAUCUUCAACGAGGAAUGCCUAGUAAGCGCAAGUCAUCAGCUUGCGUUGAUUACGUCCCUGCCCUUUGUACACACCGCCCGUCGCUCCUACCGAUUGAGUGGUCCGGUGAAGCCCUCGGACCGCGGCCUCUUGACGGUUCGCUGUCGAUUGGCUGUGGGAAGUUCGUUAAACCUCAUCAUUUAGAGGAAGGAGAAGUCGUAACA